AGGUGAGGAACCUGACUGAGGAGGUGCAGUCUCUACAUGAGGACGUCAGUAAACUCACCAGAGCCGUGCAGGCUGCUCAGGAGGCCCAGCAGCAGACCCAGGAGCAUCUGCACAUAGAGGAGGAGAAACUCAGCAACGUGAGCAAAGUAAAUCAGAAGCUCAGCCAGCAAGUUGAUGCGAGGCUGUGAGUGAAGGGCAAGAUGAAGGUAUCCAAAGGUUCGGUGUCUGUGAUGACUCCACUUUAAAGCUGGUCCCUCUGCUGCCUCCUCAUAUGGAAGAUGUGAAAAUGGAUCAAGCAUUCCCUUGUUCCUCUUUAAAAUGUCACCAGUCCUCUUCAUGAUUUGCUCACUUCUUAAAAUAUCUGCCUGCUAACACUG
rnacentral:lncRNA from 1 species